AACGAACGCUGGCGGCAUGCCUAACACAUGCGAGUCGAACGAGACCUUCGGGUCUAGUGGCGCACGGGUGCGUAACGCGUGGGAACCUGCCCUUAGGUUCGGAAUAACUCCCCGAAAGGGGUGCUAAUACCGGAUAAUGUCUUCGGACCAAAGAUUUAUCGCCUUUGGAUGGGCCCGCGUUGGAUUAGCUAGUUGGUAGGGUAAAAGCCUACCAAGGCGACGAUCCAUAGCUGGUCUGAGAGGAUGAUCAGCCACACUGGGACUGAGACACGGCCCAGACUCCUACGGGAGGCAGCAGUGGGGAAUAUUGGACAAUGGGCGAAAGCCUGAUCCAGCAAUGCCGCGUGAGUGAUGAAGGCCUUAGGGUUGUAAAGCUCUUUUACCCGGGAUGAUAAUGACAGUACCGGGAGAAUAAGCUCCGACUAACUCCGUG
rnacentral:rRNA from 1 species